UUCUCCCUAAAAAUCAAAUCAUUGAAUUCACUGCUCACACAACCCCAACCCCUUGCUACGCUAUCUUGCACUCUGCCAUGGAUUCGCCACCGCCAAUUCCUUCUCUCAACACUGCCGCCAACGACCGUGCCUUCGUCGCCGGACGCGUUCGUCAUCCGAAGUCUCGCCGGCGGAGACAGCUGACGGCGGCACUCGGCUGCCCAAGCCCCAAUUUCAUCCCCAAAUCCAUCCCUUCCUCCAUCGUCGAUGGCCCAUUCCGCCUCCCCGGCAUCGGGACCGAGUCGUAAUCUACCACAUAACAUUCCAGUUCUGCCACAGCAUACGCAUGAUUUUCCUGGGUUUCGCUUGAAAAUCUGACACCAGCAUUCCCUCCCUCCGCCGCCGCCGCGAUUCGCUGCACUCUGGCUGAUUCGCCACCACAAUUCGCCAUGGUAAGUAUUAUAUUAGGAAAGAUUACAAUUGACUAUAAUUACUGCUCAAUUUUAGAAAAAUCAAAUUUUGGAAAGAUUUACCUCUCCGUCAAGGGUUUAGGUUUAACAAUGGAAACUUAUUAUGUUAGGAAAGAUUACAUUUGACUAUGAUUAGUGCUCAAUUUUAGAAACUUAUUAUGUUAGGAAAGAUUACAUUUGACUAUGAUUAGUGCUUUUGGUAAUCUUUUUCUUACCAUUUGAUUUGAUGUUUGUUAAUCCUUAUAUUCGUAUGAUGUGUGUUGUGUUUUUGGUUUUCGAUUUAUUUAAAACCUAAGAAUAUAGAGUCUAAUUUUAUAGAACUUUAUCUGUUUGACAAUCUCAUUUGUAGGUUGUGACUCUUAUUGCGGCCCUCAAUCAACAUGUAUGCUUACUUUGUCAUUUGUAAUUGGAUUAGAUAUGUGUUUAAAAGAUUUAUUGAGCAGCUGUUUGAAGAGAGUAAUCACCUACAUACAUAUUUUGGAACCUCAGCCUCGAUAUUGACAACAGAUUUAUCAGAUUGCAUCCAAGAUAGUCUAUGAUAAGUAAUCUAUUCAUUUUUGGUGUUAGCUUUUCCCAAUACAUG
rnacentral:lncRNA from 1 species